rnacentral:rRNA from 1 species
UACGUAGGGACCAAGCGUUGUUCGGAUUUACUGGGCGUAAAGGGCGCGUAGGCGGCGUGGUAAGUCACUUGUGAAAUCUCUGAGCUUAACUCAGAACGGUCAAGUGAUACUGCUGUGCUAGAGUGCGGAAGGGGCAAUCGGAAUUCUUGGUGUAGCGGUGAAAUGCGUAGAUAUCAAGAGGAACACCUGAGGUGAAGACGGGUUGCUGGGCCGACACGUGACGCUGAUGCGCGAAAGCCAGGGGAGCAAACGGG